UACGUAGGGGGGCAAGCGUUGUCCGGAAUCAUUGGGCGUAAAGCGCGCGUAGGCGGCCCGGUAAGUCCGCUGUGAAAGUCAAAGGCUCAACCUUUGAAUGUCAGCGGAUACUGCCGGGCUAGAGUCCGGAAGAGGCGAGUGGAACUCCUGGUGUAGCGGUGGAAUGCGCAGAUAUCAGGAAGAACACCAACGGCGAAGGCAGCUCGCUGGGACGGAACUGACGCUAAGGCGCGAAAGCGUGGGGAGCGAACAGG
rnacentral:rRNA from 1 species